rnacentral:rRNA from 1 species
CAGUCGCCGCGGUAAUACGAAGGGGGCUAGCGUUGUUCGGAUUUACUGAGCGUAAAGCGUGCGUAGGCGGUUUGUUAAGUCUGCUGUGAAAUCCCCGGGCUCAACCUGGGAAUGGCAGUGGAUACUGGCAAGCUAGAGUGUGUCAGAGGAUGGUGGAAUUCCCGGUGUAGCGGUGAAAUGCGUAGAGAUCGGGAGGAACAUCAGUGGCGAAGGCGGCCAUCUGGGACAACACUGACGCUGAGGCACGAAAGCGUGGGGAGCAAACAGGAUUAGAUACCCCAGUAGUCCCUGUCUCUUAUAC